CAUAGCUGAGUAACCCCGCUUCGAUAAGUAACCUGAAAUAUUCGAAUCAUCGAUCGCGAUUCCAUUGAUUCGCGUUGUGGACGGUAUCACUUAUAACGAGUCCGAGUCAGUGAAGCACUUACUCGUGAUUUUGGUGUACCAAGAACAGAGAAUUGUAUAUGUAUCACAUAGAAAGACACCGAGUGUUUCGUGGCGUCGUAAAGCCGUGGCUGCUUUAAUACGCCUAACGCCUAGACGCUUUGGUUUCGGAAUAAAAGGCAUCAAUACGCGUCGGGCUUUUCCCUGGGUAAAAGCCUCCGUAGGCGCUGCAGAGACGUCGAAGAGGGAGCACUUCUCGUUCCCGGAAGCCAUCGGUGGGCGUGCAAUGUGUAUAGUCGCGUCUUUUAUACGUAGUAAAGUCGAUUCGAACUAUACAUACGUACGGGGACAAACGUUGGGGGGAAAAAAAAAGCAAAAAUACGGCAGUGAGUCAGCGGUGAAUUAUUCAAAACAUGAAGAAUAAAGAAAACUCGCCUGUGGUAAGGAAAUGUCAACCGAAGCUUCAGGCUCGAGAAGCAGAAGUGGCCAAUUACUCGACUGGACGUGGAAAUACUUGAAAACAGUCGGAUAAAAAUGAAAAAGGGGAGGGAAAAAAGGCAAAGCAAGGAGGAUCGACCGUGGACUAAAAUGAAUUCUGAAAAUUGCGUGCUUUUACGAAAUAAAGGUACAGGGGGGAGCUUGAGAUCAGAAGAUGGUCUGCCAAGAGGCUAUUAUAUGGAUCAGUAGCGGGGAAUUUCGUAGGCAGUGGGUUGAAGCUAAGCUUGGAGUGUUUAAUAUGGUUUCAGUGGGAAGCCCAAACAAAGGAUUCAAUUUAUCGAGUUUUCGAAAAAUCGAGAGGAACUGAGAAUCCAUACCAACGAUCAACAAUCGGCUGUGUUAUGUGCGAAUAAAGUCAAACUGUGGGAAUAAUAAAGAGGAUUACGAUAUCAUGCAAAA